GACGAGCCUCACAAACGUUUAUUCGGAAUUACUGGGCUUAAAGGGUGCGUAGGCGGCGCGGAAAGUUGGGUGUGAAAUCCCUCAGCUUAACUGAGGAAGGGCGCCCAAAACUACCGUGCUCGAGGGAGAUAGAGGAGUGCGGAACUUAGGGUGGAGCGGUGAAAUGCGUUGAUAUCCUAGGGAACACCGGUGGCGAAAGCGGCACUCUGGAUCUCUUCUGACGCUGAGGCACGAAAGCUAGGGUAGCAAACGGG
rnacentral:rRNA from 1 species